rnacentral:rRNA from 1 species
AGGACGAACGCUGGCGGCGUGCUUAACACAUGCAAGUCGAGCGGAAAGGCCCUUCGGGGUACUCGAGCGGCGAACGGGUGAGUAACACGUGAGCAACCUGCCCCUGGCUCUGGGAUAGCCUCCGGAAACGGGGAUUAAUACCGGACAUUCUCCUCCUUCCGCAUGGUUGGUGGUGGAAAGUUUUUUCGGCCAGGGAGGGGCUCGCGGCCUAUCAGCUUGUUGGCGGGGUAACGGCCCACCAAGGCGACGACGGGUAG